rnacentral:rRNA from 1 species
AACGAACGCUGGCGGCAUGCCUAACACAUGCAAGUCGAACGAGACCUUCGGGUCUAGUGGCGCACGGGUGCGUAACGCGUGGGAACCUGCCCUUAGGUUCGGAAUAACUCCCCGAAAGGGGUGCUAAUACCGGAUAAUGUCUUCGGACCAAAGAUUUAUCGCCUUUGGAUGGGCCUGCGUUGGAUUAGCUAGUUGGUAGGGUAAAAGCCUACCAAGGCGACGAUCCAUAGCUGGUCUGAGAGGAUGAUCAGCCACACUGGGACUGAGACACGGCCCAGACUCCUACGGGAGGCAGCAGUGGGGACUAUUGGACGCUGGGCGAAAGCCUGAUCCAGCAAUGCCGCGUGAGUGAUGAAGGCCUUAGGGUUGUAAAGCUCUUUUACCCGGGAUGAUAAUGACAGUACCGGGCGAAUAAGCGCCGGCUAACUCCGUG